rnacentral:rRNA from 1 species
CCUACGGGAGGCAGCAGUGGGGGAUAUUGCACAAUGGGGGGAACCCUGAUGCAGCGACGCCGCGUGGGUGAUGGAGCGUUUCGGCGUGUAAACUCCUAUCGGCAGGGAAGAUGAUGACGGUAUCUGGCCAAGAAGCACCGGCUAACUACGUGCCAGCAGCCGCGGUAAUACGGAGGGGGCAAGCGUUACCCGGAUUUACUGGGCGUAAAGGGGGCGGAGGCGGGAAUGCAAGCCAGAAGUGAAAGCCUAUGGCUCAACCACAGGACUGCACUUGGAACUGUAAGGCUAGAGUAUAGGAGGGGCAGGCGGAAUUCCUGGUGUAGCGGUGAAAUGCGUAGAGAUUAGGAGGAAUACUGGUGGCGAAGGCGACCUGCUGGACCAUGACUGACGUUGAGGCGCGAAGGCGUGGGGAGCAAACAGGAUUAGAUACCCCUGUAGUC